AGAGUUUGAUCCUGGCUCAGAUUGAACGCUGGCGGCGUGCCUAACACAUGCAAGUCGAGCGGUAACAGGUGUAGCAAUACAUGCUGACGAGCGGCGAACGGGUGAGUAAUGCUUCGGAAUCUGCCCUAUGGUGGGGAAUAACCAGCCGAAAGGUUGGCUAAUACCGCAUAAGUCCUACGGGAGAAAGCAGGGGAUCGUAAGACCUUGCGCCGAUGGAUGAGCCGAAGUCGGAUUAGCUAGUUGGUGAGGUAACGGCUCACCAAGGCGACGAUCCGUAGCUGGUCUGAGAGGACGACCAGCCACACUGGGACUGAGACACGGCCCAGACUCCUACGGGAGGCAGCAGUGGGGAAUAUUGGACAAUGGGGGCAACCCUGAUCCAGCGACGCCGCGUGUGUGAAGAAGGCCUGCGGGUUGUAAAGCACUUUUAGUGGGGAUGAAAUGUGCAGGGCUAAUACCUCUGCAUUUUGACCUAACCCACAGAAAAAGCACCGGCUAACUCUGUGCCAGCAGCCGCGGUAAUACAGAGGGUGCAAGCGUUAAUCGGAAUUACUGGGCGUAAAGCGUGCGUAGACGGUUGCGUAAGUCAGAUGUGAAAGCCCCGGGCUCAACCUGGGAAUUGCAUUUGAGACUGCGUAGCUAGGGUGCGGAAGAGGGAAGCGGAAUUUCCGGUGUAGCGGUGAAAUGCGUAGAUAUCGGAAGGAACACCAGUGGCGAAAGCGGCUUCCUGGUCCAGCACCGACGUUCAGGCACGAAAGCGUGGGGAGCAAACAGGAUUAGAUACCCUAGUAGUCC
rnacentral:rRNA from 1 species